CUAGCUAGGGGAGUUUGCCUUUGCGUGGUGUAGCGGUUUUAGAUCGGCGCGACUUUGCGCGUAGGGUUACCGAUUUGAAAUGCAGCGGGAUUUAGUGAGUUUCCCGCUUUCUCCUGCGGUGCGGGUGAAGCUUGUGUCUGCAGGUUUCCAGACUGCAGAGGACCUCCUAGAGUUGAAACCCUCCGAGCUCAGCAAAGAAGUUGGGAUAUCAAAAGAGGAAGCCUUAGAAACUCUGCAAAUUAUAAGAAGAGAAUGUCUCACAAAUAAACCAAGAUAUGCUGGUACAUCUGAGUCAGGCAAGAAGUGUACAGCACUGGAACUUCUUGAGCAGGAGCAUACCCAGGGCUUCAUAAUUACCUUCUGUUCAGCACUAGAUAAUAUUCUUGGGGGUGGAGUACCCUUGAUGAAAACAACAGAAAUUUGUGGUGCACCAGGUGUUGGAAAAACACAAUUAUGUAUUCAGUUAGCAGUAGAUGUGCAGAUACCAGAAUGUUUCGGAGGAGUGGCAGGUGAAGCAAUUUUUAUUGACACGGAGGGAAGUUUUAUGAUUGAUAGAGUAGUAGAUAUUGCUACUGCCUGUAUUCAGCACCUUCAGCUUAUUGCAGAAACACACACAGGUGAAGAACACCAAAAGGCUUUGGAGGAUUUUACUCUUGAAAAUAUUCUUUCGCAUAUUUAUUAUUUUCGUUGUCAUGACUACACAGAGCUACUGGCCCAAGUUUAUCUCCUUCCAGAUUUCCUUUCAGAACAUUCAAAGGUUCGAUUAGUAAUAGUGGAUGGUAUUGCUUUUCCUUUUCGUCAUGACAUAGAUGACCUGUCCCUUCGUACUCGGUUGCUAAAUGGCCUUGCCCAGCAAAUGAUCAGCCUUGCAAAUAAUUACAAGUUAGCUGUAAUUUUAACCAAUCAGAUGACAACAAAGAUUGACAAAAAUCAGGCUUUGCUGGUUCCUGCAUUAGGGGAAAGUUGGGGACACGCUGCUACAAUACGGCUAAUCUUUCAUUGGGACCAAAAGCAAAGCUCCUGGCAACCAUCAUUCUAUUUUUAUCGUUAUGAAUUUGACUGCCUCAUAUAAUUGGAAUCAUACAGUAUUUGUCCUGUAGUGACUGGUUUAUUCACUUAGCAUAAUGUCUUCAAGGUUCAUCUAUAUCAUAGCAAGUGUCAAAAUGUUCUUUCAAGUCUGAAUAAUAUUAUUGUAUGUAUAUGCCACAUUUCAUUUAUUCAUCUGUCCAUGAAUACUUGGGUUGAUUCUGCCAUAAGUAAUUGUGAAUACAUUAUAGUAUCAAUUUUAAAGUAAUUUUAAAAAGUAUUCUAAAGGUUUUUGUUUAUAUUUGUUGCUGUUAAUAGUAUUCGAAUACAGUUAAGAGUUUAGAAUUUUAUUUCUCAACUACUUUUAAUAUUCAGUUUUAUAUUAUUUACUUUGUAUAACACAUAAUAAAAUUUCACCUAAACAGACCUUGUUCUGUCAUAACAGUGAUAUUUUUGGGACAUAAUUAUUUUAAAACAAUGUGUCUUCCUAGCUUUAUGUCUUGGUAUAAUAUGAACAUGUGUUCCUCAUUUAUAUUCCAAGAAAUUGUCUUACUUUUUCUAUGGUAAAACAAUAAAAAUAAACAGGAUUAUUGCAGAAAGUUUGGGAAAUAUAGGUAAGAUUUACCUUAUGACAGCAGUUGUUAAUUUUUUGAUUAUAGUCUUCUAGCAAUUUUUUGCACAUGUAUAUUCAUAAAUGUGGGAUCAUACAGUAUAAUUAUUACUUAACACUUUUCUAAUUAAAUAUUUUCCUCCACUGUUUUUAGCAUAAUUAUAUAAAAUAAUUUAUUUGAAUCAGUCAUUGGAUUUUUAAAAAUUUUUCACUUCUAUAAACUGCUAUAAAUGUUCUCAUAUGUUACACAUGCAUACAUAUAGGUAGUAUUUGAGGGGAGUAUUUUUUAUAUUUCUGUCCUUUAUGUGUCCUUAGAAAACAAAAUAAAAUUAUAGUAAAAAAAUCUAUAAAUUAAGAGUUUAGUCACCUAAACUAAGGUCAUGUGUUUGUGUGUAUGCUUUUUCUCUAAGCAGGUUGGCAACAUUGUACAAAUCACCAAGCCAGAAGGAAUCCACAGUACUGUUUCAAAUCACACCUCAGGGAUUUAGAGAUGCUGUUGUUGCUGCUGCAUGUUCAUUUCAAACAGAAGGUUCGUUGAAUUCCCGGAAACGGUCCCGAGAAG